GGGUCCUCAAAGUUGAGGAAGAGUUAGCCAAGUGGAGAACAGGAGAAAGGCAUUUUGCUUCCGUCCAACAGAAAUUCAAAUGUCACUGAUCUGAGAAUCAUCCUUUGAAUGAAAAUCUCUAUAGAGAAGGCAAUGGCAUGCUGCUACCUAUCUAUGUGAGGCUGGGUUUCCUUCAGAUACUUCAAUCAAAACAACAUUCAACAUUCACAGCUGAUUGAAUGCAGAAGUAGAUAUGAGAAUCCAGCUGUCUUCUAUUAGGCUGGACAUGAAAGAGAUUUGUAAAAAUGU